GACGAACGCUGGCGGCGUGCUUAACACAUGCAAGUCGAACGGAAAGGCCCUGCUUUUGUGGGGUGCUCGAGUGGCGAACGGGUGAGUAACACGUGAGUAACCUGCCCUUGACUUUGGGAUAACUUCAGGAAACUGGGGCUAAUACCGGAUAGGAGCUCCUGCUGCAUGGUGGGGGUUGGAAAGUUUCGGCGGUUGGGGAUGGACUCGCGGCUUAUCAGCUUGUUGGUGGGGUAGUGGCUUACCAAGGCUUUGACGGGUAGCCGGCCUGAGAGGGUGACCGGCCACAUUGGGACUGAGAUACGGCCCAGACUCCUACGGGAGGCAGCAGUGGGGAAUAUUGCACAAUGGGCGGAAGCCUGAUGCAGCAACGCCGCGUGCGGGAUGACGGCCUUCGGGUUGUAAACCGCUUUCGCCUGUGACGAAGCGUGAGUGACGGUAAUGGGUAAAGAAGCACCGGCUAACUACGUGCCAGCAGCCGCGGUGAUACGUAGGGUGCGAGCGUUGUCCGGAUUUAUUGGGCGUAAAGGGCUCGUAGGUGGUUGAUCGCGUCGGAAGUGUAAUCUUGGGGCUUAACCCUGAGCGUGCUUUCGAUACGGGUUGACUUGAGGAAGGUAGGGGAGAAUGGAAUUCCAGGUGGAGCGGUGGAAUGCGCAGAUAUCAGGAGGAACACCAGUGGCGAAGGCGGUUCUCUGGGCCUUUCCUGACGCUGAGGAGCGAAAGCGUGGGGAGCGAACAGGCUUAGAUACCCUGGUAGUCCACGCUGUAAACGGUGGGUACUAGGUGUGGGGUCCAUUCCACGGGUUCCGUGCCGUAGCUAACGCUUUAAGUACCCCGCCUGGGGAGUACGGCCGCAAGGCUAAAACUCAAAGGAAUUGACGGGGCCCCGCACAAGCGGCGGAGCAUGCGGAUUAAUUCGAUGCAACGCGUAGAACCUUACCUGGGUUUGACAUGGAUCGGGAGUGCUCAGAGAUGGGUGUGCCUCUUUUGGGGUCGGUUCACAGGUGGUGCAUGGCUGUCGUCAGCUCGUGUCGUGAGAUGUUGGGUUAAGUCCCGCAACGAGCGCAACCCUUGUUCACUGUUGCCAGCACGUUAUGGUGGGGACUCAGUGGAGACCGCCGGGGUCAACUCGGAGGAAGGUGGGGAUGACGUCAAGUCAUCAUGCCCCUUAUGUCCAGGGCUUCACGCAUGCUACAAUGGCUGGUACAGAGAGUGGCGAGCCUGUGAGGGUGAGCGAAUCUCGGAAAGCCGGUCUCAGUUCGGAUUGGGGUCUGCAACUCGACCUCAUGAAGUCGGAGUCGCUAGUAAUCGCAGAUCAGCAACGCUGCGGUGAAUACGUUCCCGGGGCU
rnacentral:rRNA from 1 species